UAACAAUGUGGCAUGUUCCCUUUCUUCUACACUCACUACAUACAGCUUCUCUAUGUCCCAGACUGUAUACCAGGAGCUUCUGCCUGCUAGUAAGAAGGUAAGGAGACAAGUGGACCAGCGAGUGCUAGGGGACAGUCCUUAGAAAGCGUUGAGCAAGCGCAUCAUUAGAUGCAUUUAUGCCAAGCUCAAGGUGCUGUCUGCAU